rnacentral:rRNA from 1 species
CCCUUAGAUGUUCUGGGCCGCACGCGCGCUACACUGAUUCAUGCAACAAGUUUUGUCCCUGGCUGAUAGGCCUGGGUAAUCUUUGAACGUGAAUCGUGAUGGGGAUAGAUGAUUGCAAUUAUUCAUCUUCAACGAGGAAUUCCUAGUAAACGCAAGUCAUCAGCUUGCAUUGAUUACGUCCCUGCCCUUUGUACACACCGCCCGUCGCACCUACCGAUUGAAUGGUCCGGUGAAAUCUUCGGAUCUGAGAGAUGUCUGAUUAAUUUCGGACGCCUUUUGGAAAAGUUGUUUAAACCUUACCAUUUAGAGGAAGGUGAAGUCGUANCA